AUUGAACGCUGGCGGCAUGCCUUACACAUGCAAGUCGAACGGCAGCGGGGGAGAAGCUUGCUUUUCCUGCCGGCGAGUGGCGAACGGGUGAGUAAUACAUCGGAACGUACCCUGACGUGGGGGAUAACACAUCGAAAGAUGUGCUAAUACCGCAUACGACCUGAGGGUGAAAGGGGGGGAUCGCAAGACCUCUCGCGUUUGGAGCGGCCGAUGUCGGAUUAGCUAGUUGGUGAGGUAAAGGCUCACCAAGGCGACGAUCCGUAGCUGGUCUGAGAGGAUGAUCAGCCACACUGGGACUGAGACACGGCCCAGACUCCUACGGGAGGCAGCAGUGGGGAAUUUUGGACAAUGGGGGCAACCCUGAUCCAGCCAUUCCGCGUGAGUGAAGAAGGCCUUCGGGUUGUAAAGCUCUUUCGGCAGGAACGAAAAGGUGGCUACUAAUACUAGCUGCUCAUGACGGUACCUGAAGAAGAAGCACCGGCUAACUACGUGCCAGCAGCCGCAGUAA
rnacentral:rRNA from 1 species